rnacentral:rRNA from 1 species
GUGAUUUCCAAGGCGAAGCCUGAGGACAAUACCGCGUGUGGGAUGAAGGCCCUUGGGUUGUAAACCUCUUUUCUCAGGGAAGAAUAAUGACGGUACUUGAUGAAUAAGCAUCGGCUAACUCCGUGCCAGCAGCCGCGGUAAUACGGAGGAUGCAAGCGUUAUCCGGAAUGUAUUGGGCGUAAAGGGUCCGUAGGUGGGUUUGCAAGUCUGCUGUCAAAGCGAUCUGGCUUAACCCUAUAAAGGCGGUGGAAACUACAAGACUAUAGUGCGGUAGGGGCAGAGGGAAUUCCCAGUGUAGCGGUGAAAUGCGUAUAUAUUGGGAAGAACACCCGUGGCGAAAGCGCUCUGCUGGACCGCAACUGACACUGAUGGACGAAAGCUAGGGGAGCGAAUGGGAUUAGAUACCCCAGUAGUCCUAGCCGUAAACGAUGGAUACUAGAUGUUUGUCCGUAUCGACCCCCACAGGUGUCGUAACUAACGCGUUUAGUAUCCCCGCCUGGGGAGUACGCGCGCCACCUUGAAACUCAAAAGAUUGACGGGGGUCGGCAUCUUUCUUC